CACGUAGGGUGCGAGCGUUGUCCGGAAUUAUUGGGCGUAAAGGGCUCGUAGGCGGUUUGUCGCGUCGGGAGUGAAAACCUACAGCUUAACUGUGGGCUUGCUUUCGAUACGGGCAGACUAGAGGUAUGCAGGGGAGAACGGAAUUCCUGGUGUAGCGGUGAAAUGCGCAGAUAUCAGGAGGAACACCGGUGGCGAAGGCGGUUCUCUGGGCAUGAUCUGACGCUGAGGAGCGAAAGUGUGGGGAGCGAACAGG
rnacentral:rRNA from 1 species